ACCCAACUAGCUCAGUCAGUAGAACAUGAGACUCUUAAUCUCAGGGUUGUGGGUUCGAGCCCCACAUUGGGCA
rnacentral:tRNA from 1 species